GGCGGCGGCCCCUAGACUGCAAGUCGAACGGUAACGACACUAGCUUGCUAGUGGGCGACGAGCCUUUUAAGGGUGAGUAACGCGUAGGAAUCUACCUAGUACCGUGGGAUAGCCAAGGGAAACUUUGGGUAAUACCGCAUACGAUCUACGGAUGAAAGGGGGCCUCUCUUUGAAGCUCUCGCUAUUAGAUGAGCCUGCGUAAGAUUAGCUUGUUGGUGGGGUAAUGGCCUACCAAGGCGACGAUCUUUAGCUGGUCUGAGAGGAUGAUCAGUCACACUGGAACUGAGACACGGUCCAGACUCCUACGGGAGGCAGCAGUCGGGAAUAUUGGGCAAUGGGGGAAACCCUGAUCCAGCCAUGCCGCGUGUGUGAAGAAGGCUCUAGGGUUGUAAAGCACUUUUAGUAAGGAGGAAGGCUCAGUAGUUAAUACCUGCUGGGAUUGACGUUACUUACAGAAAAAGCACCGGCUAAUUUCGUGCCAGCAGCCGCGGUAAUACGAAAGGUGCAAGCGUUAAUCGGAAUUACUGGGCGUAAAGCGCGCGUAGGCGGCUUAGUAAGUUAGAUGUGAAAGCCCCGGGCUCAACCUGGGAACUGCAUCUAAAACUGCUAGGCUAGAGUAUGGUAGAGGAUGGCGGAAUUUCCUGUGUAGCGGUGAAAUGCGUAGAUAUAGGAAGGAACAUCAGUGGCGAAGGCGGCCAUCUGGACCAAUACUGACGCUGAGGUGCGAAAGCGUGGGGAGCAAACAGGAUUAGAUACCCUGGUAGUCCACGCCGUAAACGAUGAGAACUAGCCGUUGGACAUCUUGCAUGUUUAGUGGCGCAGCUAACGCGAUAAGUUCUCCGCCUGGGGAGUACGGCCGCAAGGUUAAACUCAAAUGAAUUGACGGGGGCCCGCAACAGCCGUGGAGCAUGUGGUUUAUUUCAACGCACCGCGAAAAACUUUCCUACCCUUGACUCCCUCGGACUUUCUAGAGAUAGAUUGUGGCCUUCGGGAACGAAGGGCCGGGGCUGCUGGCUUGUCUCAGCUCGGGCCGGGAAGGUGGGGUAAUUCCCGAAAGACCGCAACCUUAUCCUUUUUGCCGCGGUUCGCCGGGAACUUAAG
rnacentral:rRNA from 1 species